rnacentral:rRNA from 1 species
CCUACGGGAGGCAGCAGUGAGGAAUAUUGGUCAAUGGCCGGGAGGCUGAACCAGCCAAGUCGCGUGAGGGAAGACGGCCCUACGGGUUGUAAACCUCUUUUGUCAGGGAGCAAGGUGCAGGUCGGGACCUGCUGUGAGAGUACCUGAAGAAAAAGCAUCGGCUAACUCCGUGCCAGCAGCCGCGGUAAUACGGAGGAUGCGAGCGUUAUCCGGAUUUAUUGGGUUUAAAGGGUGCGCAGGCGGAGGCACAAGUCAGCGGUAAAAUCGCGGGGCUCAACCCCGCUCCGCCGUUGAAACUGUGGCCCUUGAGUGCGCGAAGGGUAGGCGGAAGGCGUGGUGUAGCGGUGAAAUGCAGAGAUAUCACGCAGAACUCCGAUCGCGAAGGCAGCCUACCGGCGCGCAACUGACGCUCAUGCACGAAAGCGUGGGUAUCGAACAGGAUUAGAUACCCGGGUAGUC